rnacentral:rRNA from 1 species
AGAGUUUGAUCCUGGCUCAGAAUCAACGCUGGCGGCGCGCUUAACACAUGCAAGUCGCACGAGAAAGGGAGCAAUCCUGAGUAAAGUGGCGUACGGGUGAGUAACACGUGGCAUCAUCUACCUCCGAGUGGGGAAUAACCCUGGGAAACCGGGGCUAAUACCGCAUAAGUCCGUGAGGAGAAAGCAGCAAUGCGCUGGGAGAAGAGUCCGCGGCCGACUAGCUAGUUGGUGAGGUAAUGGCUCACCAAGGCGACGAUCGGUAGCCGGCCUGAGAGGGCACACGGCCACACUGGCACUGAGACACGGGCCAGACUCCUACGGGAGGCAGCAGUGGGGAAUCUUGCACAAUGGGGGAAACCCUGAUGCAGCGACGCCGCGUGGGUGAUGAAGUCCUUCGGGAUGUAAAACCCUUUCGACAGGAACGAUAAUGACGGUACCUGGAGAAGAAGCUGCGGCUAACUACGUGCCAGCAGCCGCGGUAAUACGUAGGCAGCAAGCGUUGUUCGGAGUUACUGGGCGUAAAGAGUGUGUA